AUUUAUGUAGUUUAAUUAUAAAACCUUACAUUUUCAUUGUAAAAAUAAAUUCUAUUUCAUAAAUA
rnacentral:tRNA from 1 species